UUGUAAUUGAAGGCAAUUAUGCUAGAGUGGUCUGCCAGAAACACAAGGAGAAGUCCCAUGCCGUUCUGAACCCAAGCUCUGAGCUUGCAUUGUGUGACUGUAGCUGGUCAAGGAAGGGAAACCUUUGCAAGCAUGCAAUGAAGUCGGCUAAGGAACAUGAACCUUAUGAUGACCCAUAGUUGGAUGUAUGUGAGAGGAUGAACAUUCAGACAUCCUUGAUGACUGGGAUUCUAGGAAGACGAUCACAUACUCGACCAGCCCACUUGUCACCGCGAGAAUCAUCCUGGUAACAAUGUAGCUGAUCUCGGGAUUCAUAUUGUGUUCCUCCAGUUAUUUUGCAUCGUUUGAUCUUUUGUGUCUAUAUACUCCCCCUGGUGCG